UGUCUUUUAAGCAUUAAGCUACUGCUACCAUAUGUUGUACUAGUCAAAAUGAUACAUCUGAGUUUGAUUAUCUGCAUUUUGACACUAAGAAUUCCUUCCACUACAUGUAUUGAGCUCAUACAGGUCCAACAGGAACCAGAAGAGCUGGUUCUUUCCUCUGGAUCAUCUCUGAAGGUCUCCUGUUCCAUCACUGGUACUAAUAAUAUAUUAAACCUCUACUGGUACCGCUGGACUCCAGGAGCAGGCUUCACACUGGUAUUCACUUCACUGGGUACUGGGUCAGUGGACCCAGUCAGUGAGGGCCAGUUUAAGUCUCAGAGACCUGAAAAGUUUCAAACAAUUCUGGAGUCUGCUGGUGUGAGUGAGAAUGGGUCUGCAGUGUGGUACUGUGCAGCCAGUGCCCACAGUAUCCCAGAACACUCACACAGCAAUACAAAAACCCCACCAAGCCAUUAGGGGGACCUGAAGGGCAAAACAAGACUUUUAGGCCUA